ACUGUGGAGUGUACAAGAACUUGUGAGUAGCGUAUUUUUUAUUUCUUGCAAUCGCCAAAACAUACACAAUGAAGCAGUAA
rnacentral:sRNA from 23 species